UACGUAGGGUGCAAGCGUUGUCCGGAAUUAUUGGGCGUAAAGGGAGUGUAGGCGGCUUGUUAAGUCUUCUGUGAAAGCUCCGGGCUCAGCCCGUAAAGUGCAGAGGAAACUGGCGAGCUUGAGUGUCGGAGAGGAUAGGGGAAUACCCAGUGUAGAGGUGAAAUUCGUAGAGAUUGGGUGGAACACCAGUGGCGAAGGCGCCUGUCUGGCUGACAACUGACGCUGAGACUCGAAAGCAUGGGGAGCAAACAGG
rnacentral:rRNA from 1 species